rnacentral:lncRNA from 10 species
GACUCUGGCAGUUGGUGAGCAUCAUGGCAACCGUUGAACUCCAACUUUCAAAAUCAUCUUGGCGCAACGGCCGGUUCCGCAGUCCUUGGCGCCAGUGUGUGAUGAGGAGGGUUGUAGGACCUUGCGCUUCGAGCCAUUUGGGAGCCUUGGAUUGUUAGUGGUGCCAAUGGCACUUGAGUUCCAAGCUGGAAGCACAGGCAGGUGUGGUGGUGCAGGCCUGUAAUCCCAGCUACUCAGAAGGCUGAGGCAGGAGAAUCGCUUGAACCUGGGAGGCAGAAGUUGCAGUGAGCCAAGAUCGCGCCACUGCAUUCCAGCCUGGGCGACAAAGCGAGACUCUGUCUCCAAAAAAAAAAAGACAGCCACAACCAAAGUCCCGGAGAUCCGUGAUGUAACAAGGAUUGAGCGAAUCGGUGCCCACUCCCACAUCCGGGGACUGGGGCUGGACGAUGCCUUGGAGCCUCGGCAGGCUUCGCAAGGCAUGGUGGGUCAGCUGGCGGCACGGCGGGCGGCUGGCGUGGUGCUGGAGAUGAUCCGGGAAGGGAAGAUUGCCGGUCGGGCAGUCCUUAUUGCUG